rnacentral:rRNA from 1 species
UACAGAGGGUGCAAGCGUUGUUCGGAAUUAUUGGGCGUAAAGCGCGUGUAGGCGGCAUGGCAAGUCGGGUGUGAAAGCCCUCAGCUCAACUGAGGAAGUGCGCCCGAAACUGCUUUGCUUGAGUGCUGGAGAGGGUCGCGGAAUUCCCCAAGUAGAGGUGAAAUUCGUAGAUAUGGGGAGGAACACCGGUGGCGAAGGCGGCGACCUGGACAGUAACUGACGCUGAGGCACGAAAGCGUGGGGAGCAAACAGG